UGUAGAAGCCCGGAUGGGGAUCAUUUGUCGAAGAAUCUCGACUGAGGCCUGUCUGCAAUAGAAAUCUGAAGGGAAUUCGUCCACAAUGGAAGCUCGGGUGAAGGCUUACAGUGGGAAUCCGGCACGGACCGCUCGUGGUAGAAAUUUGAAGUAGAUCGUUUGUAGCAGAAGCUCGGAGUGGGUCGCUUGCUGUAGAAGCUCGAAGUCCGGCCUUUGUAGG
rnacentral:lncRNA from 1 species